rnacentral:lncRNA from 1 species
UUAUUAUACUGUGAGAUUAAUUUGAUGAUGCUUACAGAUGCAGCAAUGACUUGUUAAUGAGAUAUUGAUUCUUACAAUUAGAGUGUGGCUAGUAUCACAUUUUCAAUCCAUACUAAUGCUUCAUUAGCCUAAUUAAUAACAUAGCAAUGAAAACAAUUUUUAGGGACAAUGAUUAAUCAUAAUCAACACUGUUUCCAUUGUGGCCCAUAGGUAUCGUGUGACCUUUAGAAAGCAGAGGAGCUUUCCACACAACUAAACUAGGCUUUCACAUUGCAGCACAGCUUUCCAUGGAGAUCAUUGGAGGAAACCUCAGACUGUGACGUCACCUAUGACUCCGAUCUGUGUUCCCUGUUGUAACUGAAGGACUCUUUUAU